rnacentral:rRNA from 1 species
UACGUAGGGGCGAGCGUUGUCCGGAUUUAUUGGGCGUAAAGAGCGUGUAGGCGGCCAGGUAGGUCUGGUGUGAAAACUCGAGGCUUAACCUCGAGAUGUCAUCGGAAACCAUUUGGCUAGAGUCCGGAAGAGGAGAGUGGAAUUCCUGGUGUAGCGGUGAAAUGCGCAGAUAUCAGGAAGAACACCAAUGGCGAAAGCAGCUCUCUGGGACGGUACUGACGCUGAGACGCGAAAGCGUGGGGAGCAAACGGG